UACGUAGGGGGCAAGCGUUGUCCGGAAUCAUUGGGCGUAAAGCGCGUGUAGGCGGCCCGGUAAGUCCGCUGUGAAAGUCCAGGGCUCAACCCUGGAAUGCCGGUGGAUACUGUCGGGCUCGAGUCCGGAAGAGGCGAGUGGAAUUCCUGGUGUAGCGGUGAAAUGCGCAGGAUAUCAGGAGGAACACCGAUGGCGAAGGCAGCUCGCUGGGACGG
rnacentral:rRNA from 1 species